rnacentral:tRNA from 1 species
GCCGGUGUGGCUCAGUGGGUAGAGCGUUGGCCUGCGGACUGAAGGGGGCCGGUUCCAUUCCUGUCAAGGGCA